rnacentral:rRNA from 1 species
GAUGAACGCUGGCGGCGUGCCUAAUACAUGCAAGUCGAGCGAACGGACGAGAAGCUUGCUUCUCUGAUGUUAGCGGCGGACGGGUGAGUAACACGUGGAUAACCUACCUAUAAGACUGGGAUAACUUCGGGAAACCGUAGCUAAUACCGGAUAAUAUUUUGAACCGCAUGGUUCAAAAGUGAAAGACGGUCUUGCUGUCACUUAUAGAUGUAUCCGCGCUGCAUUAGCUAGUUGGUAAUGUAACGGCUUACCAAGGCAACGAUGCAUAGCCGACCUGAAGGGGUGAUCGGCCACACUGGAACUGAGACACGGUCCAGACACCUACGGGAGGAAGCAGUAGGGAAUCUUCCGCGAUGGGCGAAAGCAUGACAGAGCAACGCCGCGUGAAUGAUGAAGGUAUUCGGAUCGUAAAACUCUGUUAUUAGGGAAGAACAUAUGUGUAAGUAACUGUGCACAUCUUGACGGUACCUAAUCAGAAAGCCACGGCUAACUACGUG